AGUCAAACAAAAAACUGCUGUGUUUUUAAUUAUCCCAAAGGGGUUUUCUUUUUUCUUUUUUUUUUAAUUUCAUAUUUUGUUCAUCUAGUGGCAUGCAAUGGCAAGGCCAGGCAACAAGAUUACACAAGCCAAGCUGAUGGGUACUUCUGGGGGACAUGGGAACUGAGAAAACAAGUUUGGUAUUAAGAUUUAUCAAAGAGUUGACGACUUUCAUUAUGAAAAUAUGCAGGAACCAAAAAUAGGGGCAGCAUUUUUCUCUCAGAUAUUAUCCUUGACUGAAGCCACUGUAAAAUUUGAUAUAUGGGACACGGCCGGCCAGGAGAGAUACCAUGGAUUGGCUCCGCUGUACUAUAUUGGCGCCGCCGCUGUAGUUGUGUAUGACAUCUCAAGCAUGAAAUGGCUGCUGUAAUGUUGCUUGGCUCCAUGAUACAUGCAAUAGAGCGAAGAAAUGGGCUCAGGAAUUGCAAAGGCAAGGAAAUCAAACUUUGGUGAUAGCAUUGGUGGGAACUAAGUCUGACUUGAGUUCACAUGGGGAGGUAGAAGCCGAGGUACUUGAACAAAAUUUUCCAGUCAUUUCCCUUUCAUUACUGGUUUAAAUCUCUCUUUUUGUUUCUCUGUUCUUCCAUUGCUGGAAGCUGAGCAAUUCGCUCAAGUGGGCGGAAUAUUUUACAUGGAAACUUCAGCAAAAACUGCACAGAAUAUCAAUGAGCUUUUCUGUGAAAUAGCAAAAAGACUAGCAAGAAUCAGUCCUUCACGGUCUUCAGGGAUAACUCUAAAACAUGAGACUCCAGAUAGAAGAAAAUGGUUUUGUUGCAUAGGAUGAGACAUGGUUACUCUCAAGAUUCCUGGAAAUGACUUUUCUCACAGCCCCCAUUUAAAAAAUGUGCCUGCUUACAAAAACUGGGGAUUGUGUACGAGUUGCAAAUUAAUUGUAAAUAAGACUUCUUUCAUUGAAACCCACAUCAAUUUAAUGAUAAUAUAUGUAUAGUUUCCGG